AUACUUGACUGACUGGGGCGAUACCAUGAUCACAAAGAUGGUUCACCCAGGGUGAGGCACCAUUGCACUUCGGUGGUGCUGACCCUUGCGAAUUCCCCAAAUGCGGGAAGCUCAACUGCAUGAUUUCUGGUAGGGGGGGAAUGUGUUUGCACCCCAA
ensembl:snRNA U1 U1 spliceosomal RNA